rnacentral:rRNA from 1 species
UACGGAGGAUGCGAGCGUUAUCCGGAUUUAUUGGGUUUAAAGGGUGCGUAGGCGGGAUGUCAAGUCAGCGGUCAAACUGCGGGGCUCAACCCCGUAUUGCCGUUGAAACUGGCAGGCUAGAGACGGCGAGAGGUAUGCGGAAUGCGCAGUGUAGCGGUGAAAUGCAUAGAUAUUGCGCAGAACUCCGAUUGCGAAGGCAGCCUGCCGGUGUGCCACUGACGCUGAGGCUCGAAGGUGCGGGUAUCAAACAGG